GCCCCAGUAGCUCAGGCUGGUAAGAGUACCUCCUUGGUAAGGAGGGGGUCGCGAGUUCAAAUCUCGCCUGGGGCUCCA
rnacentral:tRNA from 1 species